GAGGGAGGACGCGCGGGCGCCAGUCGGGGGACCCUUGCCGGGAGCCGGGCGGAAAAGGACGGGCCCGGAGCUGGCGGGGAGGAGACGGGAAGGAGCGCGGCGCCCGCCCCCACCACCGUUUCGCUGCCCCUUGUGGUGCCCCGCCAGAGGGAGACGCGAGUCGGGCCCUGGCGUCGGGGCAGCGGAGCCGACGUGGCCCGCGGGGUCCCAGCGCCGCGCCCGGGAGCAUUGCAGCCGCCCGCGCCCAGUCCAGCCAAGCCGGGACACUGCCCUGGGGUUCGGCGGUGGAGCUUUUCAGGGUCUCUGCCCCCUGCCCCCCACCCCCCGGUCGCACCCCGGGCACACGUUCUUAGGGCCUCUUCGUCCUGGUGUUUCCGUCUCCGGAGAUACAGAGGCCAUUCCUCUCCGACGACUCCCACCCCUUUGGAACCGGGUUUAGCUAAAGUGACUACAGGGCUGGAUCCGAAAAUGAACACCUCCUGCGCCGGGUCUAUGCAGCCUACUCCUCGCGCGUUAGCGAAGAAAUGCGCUUCGGCCUGGGAGGGCGCGCCAGAGUCCGUCUUCCUGGCCAGUUUUGUGUGGUGGAAAGGAAUGACUGCUGAUGCCGGCCGGGUGACUUGGAUUUUAAUUCUAGCUGUUUUCAGUUAGCUCUGCGCUUCAGCGGACUCCUCUGUUAACGGAAAAGGUUAUCCUAGGGGAGCCUUUCAGCCUCCAAAAUGCGGGAUGCUCUGGCCUCUGCAGUCAGAAUGUGCAUGCAUCAGGGCUUUUGCGGAAGUUUCCUCACGUGAACGCUGCAGGCUGGGACCACCGGGGUAGCCUCUGCGUCCCCUCCCAGGCCCGUAGAAACGCCGCACAUGAGGAAGCGACGAUGUUCUGUAAUUUGCACUGGCACUUUCUUUUUAGACAGAUGAAAACUUUGGGAAAUUCCUAAUUGUGUGUGUGCAUGUUUGUACGUUUGGAAGGGAGUGGAGAACUUUUAAAAGUUUUUCUUCUGGAGUUUUGCAAAUGUUUCCAAAU
rnacentral:lncRNA from 1 species